CUCACUACAGGCUGCAGCAUGCACAGGUCUUAUUUCAGCAGAUGGCAGAUAAGCCUCUGAGCAAGCUGAUACUGAUGCUUCAGGAGAUCUCUGCUGCUACCUUUAUUGGCUUGUUCAUGCUUUAAGAGCCCAUGCAAUAAUUUUUGGCUCAUUGAGGUCACUCUGGAGGCUUUCCAGCCUGAUGCUAUCAGUGCUUUAGGGGGGUCAGGGAGUAUUUGUGGGGCUGCAGUGCUGGCAGCAGUGAGAUAUGGGCUGGGAAUAGGAGAGGGAAUGGGGGAAAUGGCUCUGUCCUGGUGGUGCAGCAGCCUUGGCAUAUGUACUGGAUCAAAGUCCCCAUCCCACAGAAGGAGUGUGUCCGGACUGUGCACUGGAGGGCACUGGGAGCACAACGUCCAGCUCCUUCUCAGCUCUCCAUCCAUCAGGCUCAAGUAGUAUGGGAAGUAAUACAGCUCCAUACAUGGUGAGAGGGACAAGGAGAGGCCAUAGCUAGGUCAGAAGUGUCCAUAGUUGGGCCAGGAGAGGCUGUAGCUGGGCCAGGAGUCUCUCUGAUGGCCUCUCCCCAAAAGAAAGGUGAGCUAUGUCUCAUCUUGAUAGGUGCUGAGAGGCAGGAGGAGUGGUUUCUCACCUUGACAUUCUUGAUCCUGUUUCUCUGCCUUUCCUCCUUGCCCUUCAGGGACAAACCAGGCUUGGAUCUGACUCACUACUCGUAAAGGUGAGGCUGGGAGGGCUCCUGGCUCUGCCUCAGCUCAUCCGUGGUGAAAAGCAGUACUUACAGCUUGGGAUCGAGGUGGGCUUGAUAUGUAGGCUUCCCAAAGAGCUCAUGUCUGCCUUUUAGAAAGUUGUGCUUGGCCAGACCUAUCAAGUGUCAACAACAGGAGAGGCAGUGGAGCCAGAUGAAGCCUCGGAGUGUGCUGCUCCCUGAAAGCCUGUUUGCUGCAACGUGCAGGUGUGUGGGCAGCUUGGCGAGGAGCAGAGAGGCAGCUUGGAAGGCAGUGCUGCCAACAAUCCACCCGCAGCCCACACUGUCUCCACAAAGAGCGUCUUCAGCCAGCGUGAACACACAGGUGGGAGCACACAGCAGUUUUAUCCCAGUCCCUUCCCUCUCCAUACAGCAGAUCCACCCCAAUGCACCUGGAGACUGGUCUGGGGGCAUCACAUUGGCUUCACUGAGGUCACAGCCAAUGCUGGAUUAUGCUGUGCUGCAUCAGAGUGAUUCCAGUCCUCGGGUAAAUUACACCCUAGCGGGAGAAAGGAUUGGGGAGAGGUGA
rnacentral:lncRNA from 1 species